CAGAAGGGAUGGGGCAGGAACGUUUUCAUUUCUAUGUUCCAUCCACACAGUCCCUAGGAUUGUUUCCUAUAUACUUGGGAAUUUGGUCAAUAUUAACCAAGAAGAAGGAAGAAACACACUUAGAAGCAUGAAGUCCCAUUGAGAAAUAUUGAACGAAUAUCCUUCCUACUAUACUGUAUUGGAUAUACCUUCAAAACUCUGCUCAAGAAUCACUUCAUGCAUGAAGCUGUCCCUUGAUGAGGAUACUUGGCCACUUGUGUCCAAUUUUAUUUGGGAUCAUGGCCAUACACGUGCAGGGAUCCUCUCUGGGUUCAGAGCACAGUCUGGUCUGUGGGACCUGUGUACUGACUGGCAUUCACACAUGAAAACCACAGCCUAGGCCUCAUUAGCACAAUCUAAUCUACUGAGCUGAACAACCACAAAUAUGCAAACUCAAGAGGACUUUGGACGGCAAACAGGUGCACAUGCAUUUUGGUAAGGAUUUCCAUUAUGCUUAGAGCUGAAAAUUUAGAUUCAGUCAUUAAAUUUUUGAGCUGGAGGAGUCACAGAAACCACCUACACACAAAGUAAAUAGGUCACUACAAAACCCAGACAGACCGUAAGAGGCUUUUUAAAGAAAAGGGAAAAUUUGUGAAGAAAUGUGUUUAAUCGGAAGAUGAGUUAGACAGCAAAGACAGUGUAUGAUUAGGGAAAAGCUCAGCAACAGCUAUUUGGGUGUGUCCUGAGGACAAGUAUCUAUUGUGAUCCAGUGAAGCUACUAAAUAUCUUUUCCACAGAGGUGAGAAAACGCAAUUUUUGGUUCUGCUAAUUUCAAUUCUUGAUUCAGGGCAGCAGAAAUACUAAAGAAGCCUUGCAGCCAAAUUGUAAUCAUAAAUAAUUUUCCUCUCAAGUGAGUUAACUCCAGUUGGCACUUAUCAGCUUGCAGGUCAGCAAGCUGUUUUUAUAAUGAGCCAUAAAAGGGGAAAGUGUAGUCUAGACUGGCAGUCAGAAAUCCUGCUGCUUUCUCUCAGCAACUCAGCCGAGUCUGACUCUGGGUAACUGGCCCAAACUGAUAAUACCAGCUCCCUGACACAUUAGGUGGGGACAGGAUCUUACCUUUAAAGUGGUGUGCAAUGUUGUAACAAUGGGCAAUGUGUACUUCAGGGCUGGGUGGUCUGGGCCACUGAGGGGUUCCCAGCACAAUCGCUGGAGCCUCCCUCCCUAUCUCUACCUCUACUCACUAAGCACACAUCUCUUUUUAUUCUUUUUUUCCCCUCCACUCCCACUUGUUCCUAUUCUCAAUUUUUCUCCAUUCUGAUACAUUUUAGUCGUGCUACUGGUACGCACUACCAAGCUUCAUGGAAGGGUUGAAGAGGCUACUGUUACAUUAUUUAGUGAAGAUGCUGCUGAAAUGGAAGCUCUGUGAGGACAAAAAUCAUGUCUGCCUUGCGCAUAGUAGGCACUUAAUAUAUAUA